CGCGCCCGGGGAUGCGGGAGCGCUCCCGGGGGACGCUCGGGGAACCAGCCCUGCGGCUCCCACCGACGGGAAAACACGCCCGGCUCCCGCACAAAUGACAGCGGGACGGGGAGGUGCCUCCCUGAUUGUAUUCCAGGUGCACCUGGUGGUGCUCCGACGGAAAGUUUCGGUGCCUGCGCAAAAAGGGUUUCCUUCGCAGCGGUGCGGCGUUAAAACGGGCUUUCUGCGGAUGUUUCGCGGUUGUGGCGGACUCUGCGUUUGGGACAUGGACGGGUUCGAGAAGUGGGCCUAAUCCAAAGGCCACUGGGAGAGAGCAAACUCCUGCACCUUCAUUCAUUCUGCCUGGGAGUGAGGAGAUCAAAAGGUUUUCGAAGUCGUGGCUCAUCAUCUUUAUCCUGAGCUAAUGGAGGAAUGAUUUGAGCCUUACCAAAGACAACUUACAAGUGAGCUCUUUGAUUUCACAGGUUUAUUUUUGUAAGGGAAAUCAAAGUGAAUUAACUGAGAUAAUGGAUGUACUUGCUCUGUGCCUAUAGUCACCUUUGCUUUUCCACACAAGACAAAGUGGAGUGGAAAAGCAGUGCAGCAAUAACGUUUAUUUCCAACACUUAAUGUUUCACACUUUUAUACAACUGGUGCGUUAUUUUUUGUGGUGCUCCUAAAUAUAUGCAGCAAAGGUGUAGAAACUGCUCAGGCAUUAGAUGGUUUAGAGACUUUUAAGGCCGUUAAUGUAACAAUCUGUAAAGCAGGGAAGCUGAUUGACUUUUCAUUUAGAUUCCUUUCCUGGAACUGCAGUGGCUUUGGGGGUGUGAGCAGGGGAUACAAAGCAGCACACUGAUGUUAAUUGAGCAUUGCAGAUAGCUGUAAUUAGUUAAUAAAUGAGCUGUUGCUCAUUUCUCCUUUCUGGACCUCAAAUCUGGAAGUCAAACUGUGAUGUUUGUUUCUAUUUUGAGGGAGGGUAAGGGACCAUGUUUACCCUUCGUGAAGAAUGUGCUUUCUUGGGGUGUUAAUCAGGGGUUAAAUUAAUUCUUAUAUAGAUUGGCACUCCUUAGUCUCAGUUUACAUUUAUACCUGUACUAAGUGGGACCUGAAGAUUAAGUGCAUGCCUAAGGCAGGAAACACCAGAUUCAAUCAAAUGAAAGCUAAAGAAUUAUUUACAUAUUCUACAUAUUUAGUCCAUACAAUCCAUACAACAGCAAAAUUUAUUUUGAUGUCAGUGAAAAAAGAGGUUUGUCCUGUUGUCUGAUGAUGAUGUGUAACAAAUACAACACAACUGGUCCCAAGACCACCAUAAAGCCUCGCUGAUGUUGAUGAGGGUCCAUAUUCAUUUUAUUGCUUCCCACAUUUUCAUUUUAAUGAAAACCUGUUACAAAUAGAGCUAAUGCCACUAAAAUUUUGAUAGCCAGUAAAAAAAUACUCCUAAUUCACCAAGCAUAAAUAUCCCAAUGCUGUUUUUUUUACAGCUAAGAAGAAAUGGUAAUGGCAUAGGACUGUAAUAGUGAGAAAAUAGAAGAGUUUUAUUUUUCUCUUGCAAACAUAAUAUAAACUAUCCUGAAAAACAUUUUUCAUUAAAUAGUAAAAUGUUCAAGCUGACAUAUUUUACAUGCCUAGGCAGGAUAUGAUUCUUCACACUGUGCAUGUAUGGUUUUCAUUUAUUAAGAGGAAACCAAAAAAUGCUUCUUUCCAUAAAAUCUGAAAGUUUUAUCACAUCCUUAUGUCAACUCCUUGGAUUCUCACCUUAUUUUUUCAAUGCAUCACACUGCAUUGGAGGCACUUCUCUUGGAGCACAGAAACAUUCCUUUUCAUAACAUUAAUUCCAGGAAAUCCAAAUGCAGUAUUUGGCCGUGGAUGAUAUUUGAAAUUCUUGUCGCAGUAUCUUCUCAAAAGGAUGAAUGGAAACAGAACUGUUACCCUGCCUGAGAUAGAUUUGCAAUAAAUAAAAGAUACUCCAUAAAUGUACAGAUAUGAUCAAGAUUAGUUUCAUAGUUAUUGCAUAUAAUUACACAAGGGGAAUGUUUGUUCCAUCUCAGUUAAAUAGCACAGGUUUUUGUAAUAAUAAUAUUUUUCAUCAUCAGGCCUUGUAAGUAAAUACAACACUCUCAGUCAAAACAUAUGAGUAGUUAUUGUGCACACACAAUGCAAAUUCUUCUUGGAAAUAUUCCUCCCAGGAGAUGUGGAGAACUUAUAAAAACUUUAAUAAAUAACUGUUUGGCUUUUCUAUUUCUGUUAAAUAUAUUGUGUUGAAGAUGUUAUUGCUUCCAAGCAGCUGCUCAUCAUCUAGUUUUGCUGUACAAUUUCCAUUUGGGGUGAAUGACCUCUGUGCUCUCUAGAUCAUUUCUCUGAUGAAAACUGCCUGUGUUCCAUGUCUGGGUAUUCACAAAGCAAGAGGGUUCUGUACCUGAUGGAAAGACAAGUUUAAUAAAUACUCUGUUUUUUACAAUAUAUUGCUUUGAGUCAGAAUGGACAUAAAAUUAUGUUUAUAAGUUUGUGUUAC